rnacentral:rRNA from 1 species
UACAGAGGGGGCAAGCGUUGUUCGGAAUUACUGGGCGUAAAGGGCGCGUAGGCGGCCUGCUAAGUCGAACGUGAAAUCCCCGGGCUCAACCCGGGAACUGCGUCCGAUACUGGCAGGCUUGAAUCCGGGAGAGGGAUGUGGAAUUCCAGGUGUAGCGGUGAAAUGCGUAGAUGUCUGGAGGAACACCGGUGGCGAAGGCGGCAUCCUGGACCGGUAUUGACGCUGAUGCGCGAAAGCCAGGGGAGCAAACGGG